GAUGAACGCUGGCGGCGUGCUUAACACAUGCAAGUCGAACGGGAAUUAUUUUAUUGAAACUUCGGUCGAUUUAAUUUAAUUCUAGUGGCGGACGGGUGAGUAACGCGUGGGUAACCUGCCUUAUUCAGGGGGAUAACAGUCAGAAAUGGCUGCUAAUACCGCAUAAGCGCACAGAGCUGCAUGGCUCAGUGUGAAAAACUCCGGUGGUAUAAGAUGGACCCGCGUUGGAUUAGCUGGUUGGUGGGGUAACGGCCCACCAAGGCGACGAUCCAUAGCCGGCCUGAGAGGGUGAACGGCCACAUUGGGACUGAGACACGGCCCAGACUCCUACGGGAGGCAGCAGUGGGGAAUAUUGCACAAUGGGGGAAACCCUGAUGCAGCGACGCCGCGUGAAGGAAGAAGUAUCUCGGUAUGUAAACUUCUAUCAGCAGGGAAGAUAGUGACGGUACCUGACUAAGAAGCCCCGGCUAACUACGUG
rnacentral:rRNA from 1 species